rnacentral:rRNA from 1 species
GACGAACGCUGGCGGCGUGCUUAACACAUGCAAGUCGUACGACAGCAUUUCCUUUUAGGUUGUGUUUGGAGUGGCGAACGGGUGAGUAACACGUGAGUGACCUGCCCUUCACUUUGGGAUAACGUGCGGAAACGUGCGCUAAUACCAAAUAUUCGCAUUUCUGCUGCAUGGUGGGGUGUGGAAAGGGGCCUUCGGGUUCGUGGUGGGGGAGUGGGCGUCGCGGCCUAUCAGCNGUGUUGGUGGGGUGAUGGCCUACCAAGGCGUGGACGGGUAGCCGGCCUGAGAGGGUGUUCGGUCACACUGGGACUGAGAUACGGCCCAGACUCCUACGGGAGGCAGCAGUGGGGGAUUUUGCACAAUGGACGAAAGUCUGAUGCAGUGACGCCGCGUGGGGGAUGAC